AGGCGGCCACGCAAGUCGGAUGUGAAAGCCCUGGGCUCAACCCAGGAAGUGCACCCGAUACUGCGACGGCUUGAGUACCGGAGAGGUUGGUGGAAUUCUCGGUGUAGAGGUGAAAUUCGUAGAUAUCGAGAGGAACACCGGUGGCGAAGGCGGCCAACUGGACGAGUACUGACGCUGAGACACGAAAGCGUGGGGAGCAAACA
rnacentral:rRNA from 1 species